UCCACCAAGCAUGAGAGCAGGUGCAGACAUGAGAAGGAGGAACGACGAGAACUCUGUACGUGUGACGAACUUGUCUGAAGACACCCGUGAACAGGAUUUGAUGGAGUUGUUCCAUCCGUUCGGCGCUGUAACCCGUGCCUACGUGGCCGUUGACAAGAACACAAACAUGAGCAGAGGAUUUGGGUUUGUCAAUUUCGUAAGCAGGGAAGAUGCAGAGCGAGAUAUCAACACCUUGAACGGGUAUGGUUAUGAUAACCUCAUCCUCAGAGUUGAAUGGGCCACUCCUAGGCCCAGUUAGAUCCAUUUUUCUCUUGUUUAAAUUAUUUUCUGUAAAAACUAAAGAUGAUUAAUGCCAUAUGUGUGUAUGCUUGGUAUAUUAUUAAACUCGUGUUUGCAAUUAAAAAAAAAAACUUUAAACCUCCAUUAGCAGCUUAAUUUACCCAAAUACCCUUAAUUUCCCGGGAAAACCAAAGAAACGAUAAUUAGUAUCAUUAUGCUUCUGAGAUUCCGAUAGAUAGAUGAAGAAGCUCUUCGUAGGAGGCAAUCUUCUCAGAAGCUCUAGUUUCUUCAAGAUCUCAAUCUUCG
rnacentral:lncRNA from 1 species